AGAGAUUCUCUAUAGAGAAUGCUCUAUAGAAUCAAUUGUCUAAGUUCCAGAAUUGUGGAGGACUCUGUUCAGAUUGCCUGACAACCUUCCUUUUCUCUCUGCCCAAGUCCCUCUUCUUUUCUUCCCUCACACAUGUAUGAUUCCAAGAGGACCUCCCCACCCCCAAAUCUGGCUACACUUCAAGUCUCCAUCCCAAAGGAUACCAUGGCAGAGUGACCAAGAGGCAGAGACAGAAAGAGAACUUCCAUCCACUGGUUCAUUCCCCAUUGGACACGAUUGUUGGCACUUGGGCCAGGCUAAAGUCAGAAGUGAGAAACUCCAUCCUGGUUUCCCACAUAGGUGGCAGCAAUGCAAGCACUUGGGCCAUCCUCCCCUGCCUUACCAGGUGCAUCAACAGAGUGCUGGAUUGGAAGCUAAGCAGCUGGGAUUCAACUGGUGCUGCAAUAUAGAAUCCAGUGUCCCAGUCAGGACUAAAAAGAGAGGACUGCAAAAUGGAAUCAUAGCUAGAGGAAUGUCAGGCAGGACGAUAUACACCAAACAGCAACAACUGUAACAUUAAAGGCAUGCAACCUGCUUUGAAAAUUCCUUUGGGUCACUUGGAAACCACUUUCUGUACCCAUUCAAACUUGUAGAAAUUGUACUUUCAUGAACCAAAGAAAAUACCUACUUUAUGUUCCUACCCUUAUCAACUCCACCAACAACCCCAAAGGAGAAACCAGCAUUACAAUAUGGAAUAAUGACAUCUGCAGUUCCUGAAUGAAGUUAAUGGUGAUAGUUUGUAAAGCACCCACCAAUUAUUGAGAGCUGACGCUAUGCCAAGCCCUGUGUUAAUGUGGAGCCUGUGGUCUAUUUUCUUUUGUGGUGGAGAAGAGGCUCUCUGGGUACUGCAGAAGCUUCUGAAAAUAAUGUCAAGAAAAGAGAAGGACAGAAGGCACUGGGAAGUCUUUGCAGAACAUCCAAGUGCUGAGGACCCCGAGAAACAGCAGACACUGCUGAUGUGAUGUCCCUGUACAGAAGGAGAAGUGACAGGUGUAUGUACUCCUGAAUGUGAUCAGACUCGUCUCCAGUGCCAAGCUGAUCUACCUAGUUGUCUGCCUUCACACAUCAGAAGCAACCGUGAUGAUGUCACCAUAUGAGGACUGGAUCAUCAGAUGAUAGACAAAUGCCUAGGAAGUGAGACAAGUGAAACCAACUCCAAAUGGGCAAGGACAAGAGGUGAAAUGUAGCUGCACAACAAUCAGCUGAAACUACAUGUAAUUCACUGCAGUUCUGCUUCUCAAUAAGGAAAGCUACUUUUAGUUGUCUAUUGUACAUUGUUUUAUGCAGAGGAUGUUUUUUUUGUAUUCACUUAAAAUCUAGAACACUAUUUACUAAGUGCUAGGUGCUGUGUGAGGUAAUAAGUAGUGAACAACCAACACACUUACUAUUCUGGGGUUACCAUUUUAAAGGAAGGAAAAAAGUGAAAAGUGGAACUGAUGGUAUGGCUCCUUGGGUUAAGCCUCCACAUGGGUAGCUCACAUCCCAUGAUGCAGUGCUGCUCCACUGCUGAUCUAGUUUCCUGCUCCCUUCUGCCCACAUGAGAAACCAAGAUGGAGUUUUGGGGUCCUGAUUUCAUCCUGGCCAAGCCCUAGCUGUUGCAGCUGUUUGGGGAGUGAAUCAGAAGAUGGAAGGUCAAUCUCUCUCUCUCUCCCUCUCUCUCUCUCUCUAGCUUUGCCUUUCAGAUAAAUAAAUAAUUCUUUUAAAAAAUUACAGGUAAACAAGCAGUUGUCUUUUAAAUAAUACAUAUGCAUGUGUAAAUCAACUGGUUACCCCAUUUAACUCUACAUUUUUGAUUAAACUUCUCCUCCCAAUCUUUCCCCAGGCUCCUUCCUAGUCAGGAGGGCUUGCUCUUAUUCUUGGUGAUCCAAAUAGGCUUCUGAAAUUACCCUAUUGUUUAAUCAUCUUUAGGUACAGAAUCUUAUGGCAAAAGACCUACUGAGUGCCUCUCCCUCAGGAAACUCAGUGGCUGCAGAGAAUCUAACAGGCAAUCUAUGGUUGCCCUGCUAUCUCUUUUGAAUUUGCUAACUGGGAUUAGAUUAUGUUCGGUCAAGAAUAAAUUAUUGGUGACAGGAAGUUAGUGAAUUUAUCCACCAGGUCUGGACAGGCUAGGUGAAUUUGUCCAUGGGGAAUGGUACAGUCAAAUCAAGAUGGCCAUGGUCAGUGAUCAGUGUUAUAGCCAAGAGCUGAGUGACUGAGUUGAACUGAGUAGGAAAGAUAGAAGAAAGGAACUAAGGUUAGCAGCUGAAGCCAGAAGAAAGGGGUACAGAAGCCAAGACUGAAUUUGGUCUCUGUGUUGAGAUGCCUCCAUUCCAGUCUACACAAGCACAAUCCACUAGAUCUGUAAAACUGAUCAAAGUCACUUUCUGGUGGUAUAGCCAUCACUGAGCAAUGGUAAAAGCAAAAACAAAACUUGAGUUCAAAUCUUCGCUCCAGUAUUAACCUCACAAGGAGAAUUUUAGUAUUUCAGAAAAUCUUUUUUCUUAUUCCAAAAUGGAGAUUUAUUUGAAAAUUAAGUUGUAUCUGUACAAAAAAGCACCCCCAGGUUAAAAUAUACUGUACACAUUUAAAAUUAGAAAAUGAUGUGACAUCAUUUCAAUUAAGAGUACUCUGGAUAAUAACUCUUCCUGGAGACAGAUUUUUCUCCCCUGUUUGAUUUACAUACUGCCUAGACACUUUUAGAUGCUUGUAAUGUCUAUUAGAAUUCUAGUUAUAACAGAGAUCACUCUCAAACACCAGAAAGGCUGAAAGAGCUUAGAGAAACUGUGCGCUCCAGACUCAAUGUGGGAUUAACAGUAAGUCUCCCACCGUGGCAAAGAUAAACUAGAAAUUCUGCAUGGCCGACUAGAAGUCAGCUCCACCUCUGCUUGCCUGUUUCCUCUGAGGUCUGCAGCAGUCAGAGGAGGUGGUGUGCUGGGCCAGUGGGAGGAGUGCUGGGUCCCAAGCAUUUGCAGACUACAGACACAGAGGGGCAAAGGCCCAGGAGAUCCAUGGCCUGGCCACUUAGCUAAUGUGGGCCUGCAGACAAGUUUAGUGCAUUGUGACUCACUUGGACAGUGAAGGUCUGAAAUCCAGUGACCUUUGACACCUCUUCAGUGUUCCAGGUCUUUGGUUCUAUAGAUUAACUAAGCUGGGCCUUUGCAGAGAUUUUACAUUGCAGAGCAUGUUGAUUCUAUCACUCAUUGAUCCUGUGAGGAGGGACAGUGUAUGAUUUUAUCCUCAUCUCGUGGAUGAGGAAAUAGAGAUUUGGAGGUUGUGUCCAUUACCAAGUUUCAUUACCAAGCCAGAGUCAAGCAUCUAGAGUCAAAAACAUUUUGUUGAUUUUAAAAAUUGUAUCAGAGUCGGGUGUGUUUCCCUUUAAGAGGUCUUGGCAAUUACAAAUUAUUUUGAACUAUCAUGUGAUGUGGUGGCUGCUAUGGAAACUGCAUUAAUACAUGAAACAUGCAAAGCUUGUCACCACAUCAGAUGUUGCUGCCCUUUGGCUAUGCUAACUUACUCAUCUGUUUUUUUUUUUUUUUAAUAUUUCUCUUUCUUCUUUAUUUUUCUUUCCCAGACACAUGCACACUGUACUUAUAAUCCAAGAAAUCUCAUUUUGAAGUGACUCAUUCUUAUGAAAUGCAUUCAGUGGCUUGGAACAAAAGAUUCUGCUGGAAAUUCAACCUGGGAAAAUAAUCUAUUUUUAAAAACACUUACCUAGUAUUCAUUUUGUAUUUCUGUGGUUCAAACAAAAUGUGAGAAGAAGCUAAGGAAGAAAAACUAAAGUCAUGAGCUAAGAUCAUGCUUGUAUUAUAUUUGCAAAGGAAAAUAAUGCAUGGG